AACAUUAUUGAAUAAAAGAGUUAAAGAAUAAAUAAAAAAGAAAAACAUUCAAACUCAAAUGAACCUCCUCCAUAUCUGCAUUGGUAUAAAUACCUAAAACUAUCCAUACAGUACUUUUUAAUAUCGAUACAGUAUCGUGAAGUGAAAUAUUGCGAUAUAUUGCAGAGCAGGUGUUUUCCUGCAGCCCUAAGGAGCUGUGAAUUAAAAACA